CGACUCCCGGGUACGGGAACCUCCGGCGGAGUCUCAGUGCCUCUGACUGCUGAAUCGUCCUCCUGUGGCGCGCCAAGAGCCGCCUUGCCCAAGGGAGAGCUCCCAGUCCAAAGGCAAAAUCACACGGAAUUGCCGGCUUCUAUCUGAGACAGACAGCCCUCCUCUACUGUGAAUGGGAUUCGGGAUUCGAACGGAAGCUGCCAGAGCCCCUACACCUCGCGCCGUGAGCACAGCGCCACCCACGACCUGCGGCGGUGUGGUUGGGUGUACCCAGGUGGGGCAGCGGCCGGAUCUCAGCCCUGAAUAGUCACCGAGUUCUGCUCUGCGCGGUGUUUUCUCCUGGUCCUUAUCAGAUGCCAUUGGUCUCUCUGCAACAUUUGGGGCACCGAAGCCAACUUGACCUGCCUGAUGCAAACAUCUGGAUUCCAGGGGAACUACCAGGGCCAGUGGCUGAAGGCACAAGCAUCGAAUCACCAGCUCUUCAGACUCCAGAGGAUCCGGCAUUGAUGACAAGGUAGAAUCACAAGACAGAAGGAGCUUGGAUCCUGAGUCACCAUUUCAGAAGAGAGCUGCCCAGAAGAGCUGCCUGACCAGGAAUAUCCACUUCAAAUUUUCGUGAGCGAGAAAUAAACGUUAAUUG